UGCAAGUCGAACGGUGAGACAGCGCAAUAAGCUUGCUUGCUUUGCUGACGAGUGGCGGACGGGUGAGUAAUGUCUGGGAAACUGCCUGAUGGAGGGGGAUAACUACUGGAAACGGUAGCUAAUACCGCAUAACGUCGCAAGACCAAAGAGGGGGACCUUCGGGCCUCUUGCCAUCGGAUGUGCCCAGAUGGGAUUAGCUUGUUGGUGGGGUAACGGCUCACCUAGGCGACGAUCCCUAGCUGGUCUGAGAGGAUGACCAGCCACACUGGAACUGAGACACGGUCCAGACUCCUACGGGAGGCAGCAGUGGGGAAUAUUGCACAAUGGGCGCAAGCCUGAUGCAGCCAUGCCGCGUGUAUGAAGAAGGCCUUCGGGUUGUAAAGUACUUUCAGCGGGGAGGAAGGGAGUAAAGUUAAUACCUUUGCUCAUUGACGUUACCCGCAGAAGAAGCACCGGCUAACUCCGUGCCAGCAGCCGCGGUAAUACGGAGGGUGCAAGCGUUAAUCGGAAUUACUGGGCGUAAAGCGCACGCAGGCGGUUUGUUAAGUCAGAUGUGAAAUCCCCGGGCUCAACCUGGGAACUGCAUCUGAUACUGGCAAG
rnacentral:rRNA from 1 species